GUUUAUAUUCUAUAUUUCUGAAUAAUUGUUUACAUUCAAUUUAUGAAACACAGAUAUUUCAUUUUUUUUAAAGUAAAGCCUUAUUCUGAUGCUAAUAAAGAAAAUUAUAAAAAUUAAAUAAUUCAAUGUAUUAUAUUAUCAUUGUAUGUACGUAUGACCUGAGAAUAUAGUCUAACUACAACAUCAGCAUACGACGGGCAUGAUGUGAAGUGAACUGCUAAAAAUCAGAACAAGAGAAGGUAAUAGACUUUUGAGAGUCAUAAUAGCAUCCGAUUGUUUGUACUUCGCUAUAUGCUACGUAUCUUCGAAAAGGGUCGUUUAUUCCGUAAAUUGAUGGUAUUUUUUAGCACUAGAUUCGUCUACAAAACACAUUGUAGGGGAUAUACAUUUUUGUAUUAGUAUGUAUUCACUGUAUGCAUCGGUUUUCUUUCGUAGACCUUUUAUACAAUGUUUUGCCAAAACGAUGUGAAAAGCGAAAGAUCAAACACAGGUCUUAGUUGCACCUCAAUAAUUCUUAAUUAUCUAAUACAGCGUCUCAAUUAAAACCUGUUUAUGAUGUUGUUAUGUAUACACAUGUUUUACUGUACAGCCGUAACUUCUCUUUGACAUCUGAGGCGGAAGUACACUAUUUUGACGCAAACUGUUUUAUUAUAACAGAACGUACUUUCCAAUACUUUAUUGACACCGACGUAACAAUAAUAAAAAGAAAAUAAGAAUAACAGCCAUUUUUCUGUUUGUAUGUACUAUUCCGGGGGGGGGGUAGUGUGAUUGAACAAAGCAAUCGAAAAUUUUGCAAAUAAACACAUAGUCUCACGAGAUAGCUUGAUGAUUAUUACAUAGCAUACCGUUUACGAUAGUGCUUUCAUAACUGUGAACUAAUGUAAACAUAAAUUAUAUUGCAAUCUAAAAUAUACCUAUAGUCGUCAUGUUUUGUUAUCACGAUUUCGGAAUGAUAAAUUAAUUUGCAAAAACGUAUAAUUAUCUUUUUCUACAAUGUUCUUUUGUUGGUACCAGUCCUCAUGAAAGAUGAAAAGACAGAAUGCAGACAAGUUUGGAUGUUUAAGGCACAUACACUAGCAACGUCGUAUGAAGAACGGGACAAAACGAACAAACACACCUAAAGAAAUCGUUUUUAAAAUAUUUCACCGGUGACUUUGAUUGUGUGUUUCUUAAACAUAUAUGGAUGAGUGUUAUUGACAAAAGUUUUUUUUAUUUUCACUUGUGUGUUUUUUUAUAUGCAUCUUUAUAUGCAAUUGUGUUCAUAUUUUAUCUAACUGUGGAUUCAGUUAUUUUUGUGGUAAUCUAUCUUUAUGGAUUUGGGAAACCUUGGUUUUUUGUGGAUAUUUGAUUUCGAGAUUAAGACAAUCUCUGUAUGCAAAGCCUUUGGAAAAUGUGUUAUUCGUUAAACAUUUGCAUGUAUGGUCAACAUAUACCCAGGAAAACCACGAUUAUUGGUAUCCAAAGAGUAACCAUGAAUCCACAGUGUUGGGUAAACACAAACAAGAGUUUAGUCUUCUAUAAAAAGAGCGAUAAUUUGAUUCCUCCAUUAUUUAAAAUCGGUAUUUCUGUGAUUAUUUUUUUAUUUUAAAGUAAAUAAUGUUGCUAUGAUUUUAGUUCAUCGAGAAAAUCAAAAUGUAUUAGGCAAAACUUUAAUGAAUUGUUGGUCUUCAAUGCUUUUUAACCUUAUACUUUAUUAAGCCUUUUUAACAUGUUUGAUUCGAGCGUCACUGAUGAGUUUUUGUAGACGAAACGCGCGUCUGGCGUAAAUAUAAAAUUGUAUUCUUGUUAACUAUGAUGAGUUCAUUUUAUAGUUUCGUUUGCAUUUAUCAGUAUAAUUGUCUGUACACUACGGCAAUGUAUUUAUUGUUCCUUGUCAUUUCCCAUUUUGUUCAUUUUGAUUGUCACGCAUAAAGAAGCCAAUAAUGCACUUGCUUCCAAUGUCUUGUAUGUGAGUGUUUGCGGUGUAGACUUAUAAAGGGAAGUGCAUUAUAUUAUUUUUUUUAUUUUAUGUCUCUGUCUAAUAAGUUGUGUGAAUCGAAACAUUUGCUAUAGUUUCAUUCUUUGAUUUAAGAAACAAAAUUGUGUCAUUUUCUAACUAGGAAGUUUUCAAAUUAUGUUUUAAAUGGUAAAGUUUAGUUUCAACUCCUUUAAUGUUAUUUUCAUUUCUCAAUUUACAUGACAUGAUUUCUACUGCGUUCACGGAAGAUCAUUAGAAAAAGGGGCAACCUUAAAAUACUCCCCUGUUUAGACGAAAAGGUGCACAAUUCCAUCCAUUAUUGAACACUGAGCUAUGUAUAUCAGAAUAUAACGUCUUGAUUUAGUUAAUGGAUGAACUAUUCGAGAGUUUGGUAUAUGAAAGACCAUUUUAAAGUAUAAAUGCCUUUAGAAACACAAUUGCACCUUUAAAAAUUAAUGCGUGGAUGUUAUCUAUGAUAUCUUGUAUUUGUAUGAGAUUAAAACCAAUAUAUCGUAAUUUCAUAUACCCUGUUUGGUCUGUAUUUAUGAUUAGAUUUAGUACAUUUUUAUUUCUUGAGCUAAUGUGUAUGAAAAUAAUUACAUAGUAUAGAUAAAUAUUUAGUAAGGAUAUGGCUCAUGAUUUGAAACAUAUAGUGGAACAUUCUUUUAGUAUAUAAGGUUAAGAAUACUUUGUCUUUGGGAAAAUCGUAGCUUUUGCCUGUCAUAGCUUGUACAAAAAAUCUUUACAAGGAUAAGGCUUCAUGAUUUCCAAAACUUUUUUAUACAAAUGUGAUACCAUUUCUUCGUUAGCUUUUAUUGGAGUUUUAAACUUAUUUACUGCUAGUGUUAAAUAUUCUAUUGUAACAUAUUCGUCGCACGUCUGGCAUUCAUGUUCUGAUACAUUAUUAUUUACUUCAGUGCUGUAAAUAUAUUCCCAUGAUUGGGCAAUAUUUUCGUUUUCUUUUGAAUAUAGUUUUUUGUGAGAUUUCUUUUCAAUUUGAAGUAUUUUAAUUGAUCUGUAACAAUAUUUCUAUGGUGAUCUGUUAAUAUGUUCUCUUUUUUUUUCUUUUUUUUUUUUUUUUUUUUUUUUGGUUUUUUUUUCAGACCUAAAAAGUAUGCUGUAUUUGCGUCGCCUUGUUCUUCCCAAUCUUGUUUCGAUCUUCAUUUGGCGCCUUUAACUUUUUAUUCAUAAUGCUUUUCUAACUGAUUUUCAUUUUGAUUAUUUUUUGCAAAAAUUCAUUCCUUUAAUUUUUCUGAUAUUUUUUAGUUUCAUGAUUAAAUUGUUUGCUAUUUGUUUAAUUUCAUUUUUCUUCUAUUGUAUGCUCUAACUUUGGCAAUAGUUUAUUGUACGCAGUUUAAUAUCAAGUUUUAUCGCAUUCCAAAGAAAAUGCAAAUCCGUAGUUGUGUCUUGCAUGAUGCUGUUUUAUUUUGCAAUUAAUAUUCCAAUUUCUUUACAAAAAUCAUUUUCUUCUAAAACAGAAUUCUUAAAUUUCCAGCAUCCCGGCCAUUAACUUUCGGCUGUUACGCUUUGUAAUUUAAAAGAAACAUCUUGGGUGGUCUGUACUUUGUAUUAAUGCAGAUUUAAUGUCACUUGAUUUUGUAUUGAGCCCAAAAUCUGCAGGUAAACUGAAUUUUAGGGAUUAAAUAUCGCCAUAUAUCUAUAAGAUUUUGCGUUUUAUUUAAUGUUUUUAAACUUUUCACUAGUUUUAUAUUUUUGCGUUUAUUGCUAGUUAAAACAUUGUUGUGACGUCAUUCUAUUGUUGUCCCCGUUCUUUAUUUCAGAUAUUGGACUAGCAUUUACCUAUAAGAAACCAUUAUAAAUAAAUAUUUUGCAGGUAAAUGAUAGUCCAAUUACAAAAAAAACUAUCAAUUCCGCCAAUUGUUUUCAUCAUGUGAAAAGAAAAAUACACAACCAAAUAACAAUAAAAAAACAUUCUAAUAAAGUCACCUUCCAAUACAGCAAUUUCUCUGUCGUCAAAACAGUUUGAGAAAAAAAAUAUCAAUAGUUUUCAUAUUUUUCAGGUUUCGGCGUUUAUUUACAAGUUGUUGUUUUGGAAAGAAGUAAGGAAAACGUUACUGCAGGUUUUUUGUUAAACAAACCAACCGUGUGAUCAAUUCGCACUUUGUCCGCAGUGAUCAUUGUAUGUUAAACAAGAACAUAAGAAAACAAAUUUUGGCCAAGAAAUCGAGAGACAAAACUAUGUUCUGUUAACAUUAAAAAAACGCAUGGGACAUCAAUACAAAUAUAAACGAGAAAAACAGUUGACACGACCUUCCAGGAAAAUAAUAGAUACAUUAAUAAAAGGGGGAGGUGAUAAUCAGGUGGUACCAUUUGUGUAAAAUUAAUAUUCUCUUAAAAAUUUCAAAGAACAACAAAAGAAUUUAAAACGAUGGCACACGAUAUUGAUCAACGUAAACCUGUUUUUCUCAUUCAACCAGUAAGAAGUAAAAAAAAAGAAGAAACUAGAAACUAAUAGGAGAGGACCACAUUUUAAAAUAUAAUAUAUUAAAACUUCCCAGUAUAAGCAUCUAAAACUAUAUCAUCUGUGUUAUACACAUUUAAAUCAAAUAUAUGAAUACGCAUUUGAUUUCAAUCCAAAGUUUGUAAUAGCACAAUCACUAAUAUUUUUUUCGCUUUUGGCAUUAGGAAUAUAAUUUUCACUUCUUUGUCCACUUUGGAACACAAAACGCAUGUAAAGAUAUGGGAACUUUUAAUUAGAAACCCAUAUAUGUGAUCAAACUAAUCCACAUGUUUCCUCACAACCUGACACUUUUAUACGAUCUCGCGCUCAGUUUCUUCUUUGUAGUUCGGAUAUGAAAACAGGUUUUGUGUGAAAGCAAAACCUUUAAAAAACAAAAAUACACAAAACUACACAAAACUGAGUCCUGUAAACGUGUUGACAGUCUUUUAAGUUGUGUUGAUUAACGUGAGUAAUCAUUUAUCCAUGCAUUACCAAGUACUUAUUGAAGUCAACACCUGUGCAAAUAGGUAAAACAGUUACUGAGAAAUUAGAAUUUUAGCAUGCUGUCAGUUCAUUGAUAACGAUUUUUAGUAAUGAUCUGUUCUUCAAUAAGAAAAAGCAUUUCCCAUGUGGCACAUCCUCGACAUAUACCGAUCACUUUUACCCAAGAUUGUCUCUGAACUCCAGAACUAACUAGAUAUUGUGACACCUUACAAUUCAGACACAUUGGGGCCAAGGGAUAUGAAAUAUAGAGUUUAGCUCUGAACUCAAUAUAAGGGAUGCCAUAUCUACUGCAGGAACAUUGAAGUUUAUGUUAAGACUUUCAGAAUUACAUCAAGGUGUGUCUAAAAAUAUAAAGGGUACAUUAAAUAAAGAACAAUUACUUCACCCUGCCGCCAAUGCUCUUAUGAGCUUUGUCCUCGUUUGGGUAUUUCUAUGGAAAAGAUAGCAAAGGUUCUUAAUUGAUAGGAAGAUGUGGUAUGAGUGCCAAUAAUACAGCACAGCAUCCAAGUCACAAUUUAUAAAAGUAAACCAUUAUAGGUCAUGAUACGGUCCUGAACACGGAGCCUAGGCUCUUAAGUUCUUUGUUAGUUGAUUGAUUAAAAAUAACACAAAGGCGCUUCUGAACCGUGUAUUGUCCCUAAAGAUAACAAAAAUUCGUAAACUUAUGGCUAUUACAAAAUCAAUCGUUUCUGUAGAAACAUUCGCCCCCAUUACAUUUGGGAUUGGCAUUGCAGAUAUAUCAUGAAUAUGCAUAUGAGAAUAUGGGUCACGAACAUUGAUCGAAACUUUGUACUCACAGGGCUUUUGUGUUUCCUAUGAAGAGACUAUACCUGACAAGUUUGACCGAAUCAAGACGGUAUUUACGCUCCAUAUGGCAUUUGUACUCAAAAACUGUGUUUACUUUGAACAAACUCUGUCCUGCGCCGAACUUGUUCUUGUAAAAAAAGGAAAGUGUGUUGUAAUGCUAAUGCGCGUAAUGAAUCUGCAUAUGAUGACCAAGAGAUUGAUUCAUGUCCCUAAUUAAUGAAGACUUGAGCUAUUCUAUGUCGCUUUAAAAUGUUAUAUAAGGGUCAUGACUGAUUUUGAAUUACAACAUUAGCAAAUUGGCAUUACAUUGUAUAAUUUUUCAUCCUUCCUUUAAAAAAUUGAUGAGUAAACUUUUUUACCAGGAUUAUCCCACUAACUGAAGACAAUGUUCAUGCACCAAACUGACUUUGUUUUUCAACCAACCAAACCCCUAAUCAAGGCAAGUAACACUUAUGAUUUUUUUUAAAACCUCAUAUUCGCCUCGGGUGAUUAUGGUAUUGUUUUGUGUUAUAACUGAUCUGUUCAGACUUUGCAAAUACACAGUAAUAAAAACCGUAUGUAUUUAUCUAUAACUAGAUACUAAUUUUCACAAAAUACACAACCUUUUAGAUGCAAAAUUAAAAACACAAUUCAGCGCUUGAAUUUGUUCUUUCAAAGAUAGAAAAAAUAUUAAAAUAAUUUGAUAAACUGGUGUUUUAUAGUUUAGAAAAUCAUUCUGUAACAUACUGUAGUGAAACACUUUACACAAUGUGAAAACUUAUGGAUGUGAAAAGGUCAGGGCCACUUCUUCUUUUGCUAUGUCAUAAAUGGAAAAAAAAUCAGAAGGUUCCAAAUCAACGCCAUUUUGUAAUGGCAGCACUUCAUAUAUGUAGUCAAAUUUGUCGUUUUAACCUCGGUUAUGACAUAUGCUUAUAGUUGAAUCGUUUUUGUAGCAUUCUAUUGAAUAAAUAUCAGACAAUUUCUGCUUGUUGUCCACGUGGUUGAAAUAUUAAUAUUUUUAGGUCUGACCUUUGACCUCAAUUUAACAAAAAUGUGACCACUCUGGAUUUAUACGACCAAACCGUUCGUAUUGUGCACGUUUUCCUCUUUCCAUCGAUAUAGAGUGUGUUCUUCCGGACCAUUAAAGUUUAAAAAAUGAACUAUGUUUGCAGUUCUACUUCCCUUUCAUAAAUGUGACCUACCGAAUUAGACUAUUUACCGUAUUUGUUAUAACAUAAGCAACACGACAGAUGUGGAGCAGAUUCUGCUUACCCUUCCGGAGCACCUGAGAUCAUCCCUAGUUUUUGUUGUGGUUCGUGUUGCUUAUUCUUUAGUUUUCUAUGUUGUGUCAUAUGUACUAUUGUUGUCUGUUUGUCUUUUUCAUUUCCAUGGCGUUGUAAGUUAAUUUUCGAUUUAUGAGUAUCCCUCUGGUAUCUUUCGUCCCUCCUUUAGUGACAUCGAUGUUGAUCAAUUGAUUCCAAAGUUAAAAUGAUUGUUUCCCCACCUCGUGCUUUCAUUAUUGUGUACACGUUUAAUUGUGAUCAAAUUAGAGUAAGUAAACUCGAAAAUUAAAAUCUAUUUGCUUCGGAUAAAAAAGGAUUGACGGAAGAGUAUUAUAUUCUCCUGGAUUCUUGUCAGAUUAUCAAUAUUCAUGUUUGUCACAAUAGUAAGAAAAGCAAGGCAUAGUUUUUACAACAAAAAACCACAUCAAACUAAAAAAAUAAUUUUAAAUGUUUAAAAUAAAGUUCUUACUUAAAUAGAUUUUAUGAUUGGCAAUAAAGACUAUAUAUAUCAAAUAUAUUUACAAAAACUUUCAAUACAAAAUAUAAACAUUUGAUCAGUUAUAGCACCUGAUGAUAGAUUUUUUAAUUAUAGGCAAUUUUAAAGGAAGACGGAAUGGACUCCUCGGUGAUAUAGAAAUAACACAGAGGCUGACAUGUAUUCUCCAAAUAUUAGACAAUAACUCCAUCUGAAAUAAAAAUAAAAGCAAGUUUGAAAUAAUUACCA
rnacentral:lncRNA from 1 species